rnacentral:snRNA from 1 species
ACCUGCGGUAUACCGCGGU